rnacentral:rRNA from 1 species
GGAGGAAAAGAAACCAACAGGGAUUGCCCUAGUAACGGCGAGUGAAGCGGCAACAGCUCAAAUUUGAAAUCUGGCCUUCUGGUCCGAAUUGUAAUUUGUAGAGGAUGCUUUUGGUUAGGUACCUUUCGAGUUCCUUGGAACAGGACGCCUUAGAGGGUGAGAGCCCCGUACGAUUGGAUACCGAGCCUCUGUAAAGCUCCUUCGACGAGUCGAGUAGUUUGGGAAUGCUGCUCUAAAUGGGAGGUAAAUUUCUUCUAAAGCUAAAUACCGGCCAGAGACCGAUAGCGCACAAGUAGAGUGAUCGAAAGAUGAAAAGCACUUUGAAAAGAGGGUUAAAUAGUACGUGAAAUUGUUGAAAGGGAAGGGCUUAUGACCAGACCUUUGCCUUGCGGAUCAUCCGGUGUUCUCACCGGUGCACUCCGCUUGGUUGAGGCCAGCAUCAGUUUUGGCGGCCGGAUAAAGACUUCAGGAAUGUGACUCCUCCGGGAGUGUUAUAGCCUGCUGUGUAAUACGGCCGCUGGGACUGAGGACCGCGCUUCGGCUAGGAUGCUGGCAUAAUGGUCAUCAGCCACCCGUCUUGAAACACGGACCAAGGAGUCGAACAUUUAUGCGAGUUUUUGGGUGUUAAACCCUCAAGCGUAAUGAAAGUGAACGGAGGUGAGAGCCCUUACGGGUGCAUCAUCGACCGAUCCUGAUGUCUUCGGAUGGAUUUGAGUAAGAGCAUAACUGUUCGGACCCGAAAGAUGGUGAACUAUGCGUGGAUAGGGUGAAGCCAGAGGAAACUCUGGUGGAGGCUCGCAGCGGUUCUGACGUGCAAAUCGAUCGUCAAAUCUGCGCA